rnacentral:rRNA from 1 species
AACGAACGCUGGCGGUAUGCUUAACACAUGCAAGUCGAACGAGUACGACCUAGCUUGCUAGGUACGGCUAGUGGCAAACGGGUGAGUAACGCGUGGGAAUCUGCCUCUAAGUCAGGGAUAGCCGUUGGAAACGACGAUUAAUACCUGAUACUCCCUUCGGGGGAAAGAUUUAUUGCUUAGAGAUGAGCCCGCGUUAGAUUAGCUUGUUGGUGAGGUAAUGGCUCACCAAGGCAACGAUCUAUAGCUGGUCUGAGAGGAUGAUCAGCCACACUGGGACUGAGACACGGCCCAGACUCCUACGGGAGGCAGCAGUGGGGAAUAUUGGACAAUGGGGCAACCCUGAUCCAGCAAUGCCGCGUGAGUGAAGAAGGCCUUUGGGUUGUAAAGACUCUUUCGGUCGGGAAGGAAAUUGUCCUUGUGAAUAAAUGGG